GAUGAACGCUGGCGGCGUGCCUAAUACAUGCAAGUCGAGCGAACGGACGAGAAGCUUGCUUCUCUGAUGUUAGCGGCGGACGGGUGAGUAACACGUGGAUAACCUACCUAUAAGACUGGGAUAACUUCGGGAAACCGGAGCUAAUACCGGAUGAUAUUUUGAACCGCAUGGUUCAAAAGUGAAAGACGGUCUUGCUGUCACUUAUAGAGGGAUCCGCGCUGCAUUAGCUAGUUGGUAAGGUAACGGCUUACCAAGGCAACGAGGCGUAGCCGACCUGAGAGGGUGAUCGGCCACACUGGAGCUGAGACACGGUCCAGAGUACUACGGGAGGCAGCAGUAGGGAAUCUUCCGCAAUGGGCGAAAGCCUGACGGAGCAACGCCGCGUGAGUGAUGACGGUCUUCGGAUCGUAAAACUCUGUUAUUAGGGAAGAACAUAUGUGUAAGGAACUGUGCACAGCUUGACGGUACCUAAUCAGAAAGCCACGGCUAACUACGUG
rnacentral:rRNA from 1 species